rnacentral:rRNA from 1 species
CCUACGGGUGGCUGCAGUAGGGAAUCUUCCGCAAUGGACGCAAGUCUGACGGAGCAACGCCGCGUGAGUGAAGAAGGAUUUCGGUUCGUAAAACUCUGUUGUUAGAGAAGAACAGCGCAUAGAGUAACUGUUAUGCGUGUGACGGUAUCUAACCAGAAAGCCACGGCUAACUACGUGCCAGCAGCCGCGGUAAUACGUAGGUGGCAAGCGUUGUCCGGAUUUAUUGGGCGUAAAGCGAGCGCAGGCGGUCAAUUAAGUCUGAUGUGAAAGCCCCCGGCUCAACCGGGGAGGGUCAUUGGAAACUGGUUGACUUGAGUGCAGAAGAGGAGAGUGGAAUUCCAUGUGUAGCGGUGAAAUGCGUAGAUAUAUGGAGGAACACCAGUGGCGAAGGCGACUCUCUGGUCUGUAACUGACGCUGAGGCUCGAAAGCGUGGGUAGCA